rnacentral:rRNA from 1 species
GGCUCAGAACGAACGCUGGCGGCGUGCCUAACACAUGCAAGUCGAACGUGAUCCAGAGCUUGCUCUGGUGAAAGUGGCGCACGGGUGAGUAACGCGUAGAUAAUCUGCCUGAUGAUCGGGGAUAACACUUCGAAAGGGGUGCUAAUACCGGAUAAGCCCACGGUGUCUUUGGACACUGCGGGAAAAGGGGGGGACCUUCGGGCCUUCUGUCAUCAGAUGAGUCUGCGUACCAUUAGCUAGUUGGUAGGGUAAAGGCCUACCAAGGCGACGAUGGUUAGCUGGUCUGAGAGGAUGAUCAGCCACACUGGAACUGAGACACGGUCCAGACUCCUACGGGAGGCAGCAGUGGGGAAUUUUGCGCAAUGGGGGAAACCCUGACGCAGCAACGCCGCGUGAGUGAUGAAGGCUCUUGGGUCGUAAAGCUCUGACAGAGGGAAAGAAAUGUAUUGUGGCUAAUAUCCACGAUACUUGACGGUACCCUCAAAGGAAGCACCGGCUAACUCCGUGCCAGCAGCCGCGGUAAUACGGGGGGUGCAAGCGUUGUUCGGAUUUAUUGGGCGUAAAGCGCGUGUAGGCGGUUUUUUAAGUCUGAUGUGAAAGCCCUGGGCUCAACCCGGGAAGUGCAUUGGAUACUGGAAGACUUGAAUACGGGAGAGGGCAGUGGAAUUCCUAGUGUAGGAGUGAAAUCCGUAGAUAUUAGGAGGAACACCGGUGGCGAAGGCGGCUGCCUGGACCGAUAUUGACGCUGAGACGCGAAAGCGUGGGUAGCAAACAGGAUUAGAUACCCUGGUAGUCCACGCCGUAAACGAUGAGAACUAGGUGUUGCGGGUAUUGACCCCUGCAGUGCCGUAGCUAACGCAUUAAGUUCUCCGCCUGGGAAGUACGGUCGC